AUUGAACGCUGGCGGCAUGUUUUACACAUGCAAGUCGAACGAGUGGCGAACGGGUGAGUAAUAUAUCGGACCGUACCGAGUAAUGGGGGAUAACCAAUCGAAAGAUUGGCUAAUACCGCAUAUUAUUCGAGCGGCCGAUAACUGAUUAGCUAGUUGGUGGGGUAAAGGCCUACCAAGGCGACGAUCAGUCGCGGGUCUGAGAGGACGAUACGCCACACUGGGACUGAGACACGGCCCAGAAUACGACGGGAGGCAGCAGAGGGGAAUGUUGGACAAUGGGGGCAACCCUGAUAAAGCCAUGCCGCGGGUAUGAAGAAGGCCUUCGGGUUGUAAAGGACUUUUGUGAGGGAAGCGGUACCUAAAGAAUAAGAACCGGCUAACUACGUGCCAGCAGCCGCGGUAAUUC
rnacentral:rRNA from 1 species